rnacentral:rRNA from 1 species
UAGAUGCGAGAGUAGAGCAUAUCAAUAAGCGGAGGAAAAGGCUGCUGAACUGAACGACCGCUACCUACGCUUAGGAUGUUGACGAGACUGUCGAUCUCAUCUAUACAUGACUCUGUGCAUAUCAAUAAGCGGAGGAAAAGAAACUAACAAGGAUUCCCCUAGUAACGGCGAGUGAAGCGGGAAGAGCUCAAAUUUGAAAUCUUCAAGGUUUUCCCUUGACGAAUUGUAGUUUAAAGAAGUGUUUUCUGUUAGGAGUUUGGUAAAAGUUCUUUGGAAUAGGACAUCAUAGAGGGUGAGAAUCCCGUAUUUGUACAUUACUCUCCUAACUUUGUGAUACACUUUCAACGAGUCGGAUUGUUUGGGAAUGCAGUCCAAAAUGGGUGGUAAAUUUCAUCUAAAGCUAAAUAUUGGCGAGAGACCGAUAGCGAACAAGUACCGUGAGGGAAAGAUGAAAAGAACUUUGAAAAGAGAGUUAAACAGUACGUGAAAUUGUCAAAAGGGAAGCGUUUGACACCAGUGUUGUUUAGUUCCGAAAAUCAAUUAACUAAUUUUGUGAUUUUAAGGAGUUAUGACUUCAUCGGCUUGCUCCUUUCUUUACGAAACUUUCUUAAUGCACUUUUCGGUUAACAAGUCAACAUCAAUUUCUUUUGUUGUAAAAGGGUAUGAGGAAGGUGGCUUUCUUUUCGGAGAAAGUGUUUAUAGCCUUGUGCCUCUGCAAUCGGAGAGAUUGAGGUCUGCAGCGUAGAUCCUUCGGGGUUAGAUACAUUUGUGCUAAGUUAUAGCUUUUCAUAGACAACUUGUUGACUAUGUUUAGUCUUGUAGCUUACUCGCUGAUGCUAUUUUACCUACGCUUAGGAUGUUGACGAGACUGUCGAUCUC